UCCCCGCCACGAGGCUCUCCCUUCCCACCGAGUUCAUCCUCGCUGCAGUAGUUAGCACGCAGAUCACGGAGCACCCGGCAGCUUUUGCUGUAAAAGCUUCAGUGCAAUAGAGAUCUCACCAGAUCUCUAUAGUUAAGCGCAGCUCCGAGAAGUUUUGUGUCAAGAAGCGGUGCAGAAAGUGAUAGUCGUAGCCGUGGAAACUGGGGGCAGCAGAAGUAUGUACCAAUAAGUGCCAGGAGGGGAGAAACCCAUAUUUUGUUCAGGUCAUUCAAAGUAAUUGCUUAAGAAUAAUCGUUUUGUUCAGGUAAAGUCAAGCAGUCUUAUUUAUCUGCCUAUUAGGUUGGUAAUUGUUCUAGCUCACACCAUUUAAAAUCUUUAUUGACUCAUUAUCCUAUUGCCAGUUGGUCAUUAAUAUUUGUAUCUGCAUCGUUGUACAGGUCGGUGGUUUCAUGCAGAUGGAUUAAAGCUAAAAGCUGCUCUUUUUUUAAUGAAUUGAUUUCUGUAUCAAUUAAAAAGUCAUGAAUGCAGAUAGCUGGGAACUUUGUAACUAAUUCAAAUUGAUACGAUAAUCUUCUGCGAUGAGAUGGGGCUCAAGUAUCAUAGUGCAUAUAUGCUUUAUAUCUCUAAUAUGGUUCUUAAAUGUCAUUUUGAUAACUUAUCCUACAGAUAUGAACUCUGAUGUGACGGCUGACCUGUUCUGUUCGGAUUGUCGUGCUACAUCGUCUCCUAUACCAUUACAGCAAUUAAAUUCUCAUGUAACAGCAUAUAGUACCACACCAAUAAAAACCACAAGUAAACAUUUUCCUUUGCGGUUGGUUUGAUAUGACUGACACCAUUUCCACUCCUCUAAAACUAUAUUUGCUGUAUUAUUGUUGUUGGUUUUGGCCAAAUUCUGCUCUCAGCUUUUUCAGUUACUAUUUGAGAGAGUAGCAGUGUAAUUCCUGUGAGCAGAAUUUUGCUGCUUUAUACUUAUAUGACAGCUGCAGGCGGUUGGUUCUUUUUGCUUUUUGUUUGUCUGUAGCCAACUGGACAGUCAGAUGGAGCAGAAGAGUAAAUCACUGAAGAGGCUGAUGGACAGUGAAAUGUCCUGACCAGGACAACAUUCAGUAACAUACGUGUCUGUGCCAUAGAGGUCCCUCGGAAGAAAGUGUUAAUAGUUAAUAUCCAAGAUUCAGUAUGCACUGAAAGGAACUGAUGAAUCAGAGGCCGAAAGAAUGAACCAUGGAAGUAUUUGUUCUACAGAAUAGAUAUCCGCUCUCAAAGGAUGCGAAGAUCUCAAAGAAACGUAGGUGUCAUCAUCUAUCUUUUCUGGGUGAAGCAGCAGUGGCACAGAAAGAUGAAGCCGUUCGUCCACAGUCAUGUAGGUUUUCACUGGCAGAGCCAGAAGUAGCCUCCAGGAAUUGAUCCCCUGCCAGCUGAAAGUUGCCAUAGCUCCACUAUAGUCUAACGUUAGCUGUAGCCCCAGGUCUCCUGGAGCAGGGGACCUUCCUAACCCAUAUAUUCUUUCCUACUCAUCAGUGUUCGUUCCUAUUUUUAAAAGAUCUGUGUCCCUGAAGUUGUAUGUACCAUCAGCAAGUGCUGUCUGCAUAAAUUGCAUGAAUAAAAGCUUACACUGCUCACUGAGAGUUUAAACAUAUCUGGAGUCUUGAGCUACUUGCUGUGCACUGGCAUGAUUACGUGGCAUACAAAUAUUUACCAAUAAAGAGUAAUAACAGAUAUUACAGUGAUAGCUACUAAUAGCGCUUGUUCUUCAUUGUAUAAAUACCAAUUAAUCCCUGCAAUUGAUAAGUAGCAUUUUUCCUCAUUCUAUACUUUAAACUUGAGACUUGUCUCAGUUUACUGCUAAGAUAGCACACUUUUUUUCCUGUCUGUCAUGUUUGGUGAACUCCCUCUGGGACCUUAGAGUGAAGCCUCGUUCUUUGCAUAGCCUCACCAAUAUUGCCGUUUCCUUAGGCCUAAAUGCCGCGGCGGUUGAAGUUCUGUGCUGCCUGUGUAAGCGAUGCACUGGAAGGACUGGAGUCACACUCGUGCUUAGCCGUGCUGGUUCUUCAGAGGGUCUGGAAAGGUGCAAAAGUCAGGGAAGAGGUUCUGCAGCUACCUGAAGAGGGUCGGCUGUGUUUUGUUUGCCUUCAGGCAGUCUGGAUGUGUAUUUAUUUGUAUCCUUAGGAGUCAAUCACUUUAAUUUUAAAAUUGCACCAAGUUUCUUGAAAUGCAACUUUUCUUUUUGAGCUAUUGUCAUGAAAUACUAUGGUACUUUUUAAAGCAGAAGGGAAAGCAAAGCAUUUAAAGAGUGAAUUCUUUUUCCAUAAAAUAGGCUAAAUUAAAUCUUUCAGCAAUUUGUUGUCUUUUUUCUUGGAGAUGGAACUAAUUAUUUAUAAGCAGAUGCUGUUUGUUUACAAAGUAAUAACUUUGUCACUGGCAUAUUAUCUUGUUUUUGACUGACUUUUUAAUACAAUAAUUAGUUGCUGCAGAGACAAAUAAUUGACUGCUUUUAGCAAAGAAUGAAAGUUGUUGGAAUAUGAUUGUGUUGUUGAUAAAACUGUUAUGAUUAAUGCAAAUGUAUUCCAGACCUAUUCAUGCUAACAGUUGAUACUUCUAAAUCCCCAAAGUCAGAUUUUUCUUUACCCCUGGAAAAAGUCAAAAUGAUUUAAAUACCUAAAUAAACAUGUUGAUAUGUUUAUAAAGUUUACUUUGAACAACAGUUCAGUAACUUAUCAAUUUUGCUCUCAAUGUCUUAAAGUGGUGUUUUCAGAGUCCUUAAUUUUGUAAAAGUACCCUGUCUUAUUUCACUGUUGCCGACCCUUAAAUAACAUUGGCCUCUUCUUGUGCCUUCUUCAUAUGUACCUGCUAAUCUGCCUCACUCCUGUUCAAAGGUAUUGUGUUUUAAAUCCCUUUUGCAGACCUUCCUUUGGGUUCACUCCAAAUUAUCCACUUCCGUAUGCGGGGAGAGGUGAGCCAUAUGGGUCUGGAAAAGAAAUUCUGCACGUGAGAUAGCAGAUGUAGGGAUGAGUCUCAGACACAGGAAUGCAAGGGGAGCUGGGCCAAAAAGUGCAGGACACAAGAAUGUGUAAGGCCAGCCUUGCUGUAUGGAGCAGAAACCUGGGCCACCGGAGAGUGGGAGUUUUAAUGAGCUCAGCUCUGCCCCAGAGCAACGAGAGGACAUGGGUGAACAGAAGCAUGAGGAGAGCAGAGAACAAAAGUAGUGUCAGAGGCAGAAAAGAUGUGGCAGCAAGACUUAAGCAGUUUGGACAUACUGUGAGGAUGGAAAAAGUCACAGCAAAUGAAAGAUCUAGUUCCCGGGCUAGAGAAUGAGCAGCUGGAAAGGAAGCUGGGGUAACCCUGUCGCAGGAAUGUGCAUAGGGUUUCAUCUAGGGUGCUCUGAGCUCUUCACAAUCGAGCAAUUCCACAGAAGCACCUAUCCUGCCAGUAUUUUGCAAGAAGUUUGUGAUGUAAAACUUGGCCAAAUUAACCAAGUGAGGGAGACAAAGGCUUCCUUAAUGCCUGGCUUCCCUCAUACUUUUGAAAGAAUGAUUUUUGCCUAGUUUGUGUUUCUACUGAAAUAGUCAUUAUAAUAGCAUGAACUCCAAGUCCCAGUAUAACGCGUUAUUGCCGCAAACGCAGCAGUGCCACAAAGGGCGCAGAGAGCAGAAGGGACGGCCCCACGGCACAGGCAGUGCCGCGGCUGCAGACUGUGGAAGGGCCAGCUCUGAGCAGGCAAGACUUUCGCACCUGCUUUUCAGGUGCCCAUGCUGUCAUGGGAGAGGUAGAUUCACUUGGAAAACAUCUGCAAGAUCAGUCCCAGGCUUUGCAUUAAUUUGUAAGUAUUACCUAGUCUGUUGCUCCAGGUUGUAACCUGUUUAUCGCAGUGGCUAGAAGAGGUUUUUUGCCUUCUGCGUACAGCAGUAUAUGAUUUGCUAGGUGAAUUAUGGGGCUUGGGAGGGGGGACACCUCUCUCUCUCGGCAGCAAUGAUUUGGUACUUCAAAAGGCAGUGUGUGAA